GCUCUCGUUGAUUGCUUCAGUCUCCACGGCUUCACUAUCUUUCACCUCUUCUGCUGGCAGAUCAUUUUCUGAUACAUAUGCUUCCACUUCAGCAGGUUCAGUGUUCUUGGUCUCUUCUAGUUCUGGCUCUUGUGUUCGUGGUAUAUCAACUGUUGCGGCAGUUGCUAUUACAUGUUCUUCAGGAGCUGCCUCGUCUGCACACACGAGAUUGCUUUUCACAUCCUCAGUAAGCUUACUGAUGUUUGCAUCAAUGCUCUCGUUGAAUGCUUCAGUUUCCUUGGCUUCAGUGUCCUUCAUCUCUUCUGCCGGCAUGUCACUAGCUGAUAUGUUUUCUUUCACUUCAACAGGUUCAAUAUUCUUGAUCUCUUCUAGUUCCGGCUCUUGUGCUUGUGCUAUAUCAACUGUUGCCUCAGUUGCUAUUACAUGUUCUUCAGGAGCAGCCUCGUCUGCAAGAGCAACGUUACUUUCCACAUCCUCAGCGAUCUCACUGAAGUUUGCAUCAGUGCUCCCAUUGGUUGCUUCAGUUUCCUUGGCUUCAUUGCCGUUCACCUCUUCUGCCGGCAGGUCACUCGCUGAUAUGUUUUCUUCCACCUCAACAGGUUCAGUAUUCUUGAUCUCUUCUACUUCUGGCUCUUGUGCAUGUGGUAUAUCAACUGUAUCAUCAGCUACUGUUACAUGUUCUUCAGGAGCUGCUUCGUCUGCAAGAGCAACAAUGUUUUUCACAUCUUCAGUGAGCUCACUGUUGUUUGUGUUAGUGCUCUCGUUGAUUGUUUCAGUCUCCAUGGCUUCAGUAUCCUUCACCUCUUCUGCUGGCAGAUCAUUUGCUGAUAUGUUUUCUGCCACUUCAGCAGGUUCAGUAUUCUUGGUCUCUUCUAGUUCUGGCUCUUGUGCUUCUGGUAUAUCAACUGUUGCCUCAGGUGCCAUUACAUGCUCUUCAGGAGCUACCUCCUCUGUAAGGGCAACAUUGUUUUGCACAUCUUCAAUGAGAUCGCUAAUGUUUGCGUCACUGCUCUCAUUGUUUGCUUCAGUUUCCCCCAUCUCUUCUGCAGGCAGGUCGCUUGCUGAUCUAGUUUCUUCCACCUCAACAGGUUCAGUAUUCUUGACCUCUUCUAGUUUCGGCUCUUGUGCUUGUGGUACAUCAACUGUUCUCUCAGCUACUGUUACAUGUUCAUCAUGAGCUGCCUCGUCUGUAAGAGAAACAUUGCUUUGCAC
rnacentral:lncRNA from 1 species